UCCCUGGAGGACUAGUGGUUAAGCCUCAGUGCUCUCACCGCCGCGACCCGGGUCCAAUUCCCAGCCGGGGAA